UGUCUCCUGAGGUGUUUGUGAGCCAGUUACGUCCCUCGAGCCUAUAUUCACACCUCUGGCAGUGCUGCUUUGAUGUUGUGUGCAUGUCCGUUGAUCGGAAAGCCUAAUACAUCGAAUAGUGCUUCCACUCUGAACCUUAGGGUUCAGGGCCAGAAUUGGUAGCGGCAUCUUGGGAGACCU
rnacentral:other from 1 species